ensembl:lncRNA
UCACAAUGUAUAUGUUGGAUCCUAACCCCUAUUACCUCAGAAUGUGACUGAAUUUGGAGAUAGGGUUUUGCAGAGAUAAUUAAGUUAAAAUGAGAUCAUCAGGGUGGGCCCGAAAUCCAAUAUGACUGGUGUCCUCAUAAGAAGAGAAAAUUUGGCACAGACAUGUACGGAGGGACGACGAUGUGAAGAGACACAGAGAGAAGAUGGCCGUCCACAAGCCAAGGAGAGAGGCCUGGAAGAGAUCUCCCCUAUGACCCUCAGAGGAAACCAACGCUGCCCACGCCUUGACCCUGGACUUCUACCCUCCAGAACUGUGAGAAAAUAAAUCAGUGUUGCUUAAGCCACUCAGUUUGUGGCACUUUGUUAUGGCAGCCCCGAAAACUGAUACAGAGGAUCUUGUGCAAUAGAUAUUAAAAUUUAUUGUAAAGCUAUGUAAUUUAAACAGCAUUAUAUCAGGACCAUGAUAGACAAACAGACCAUUGCAACAGAAUACAACAUCCAGAUUCAUGAGGAAAGCAACAUUUUAAAUCUGACAAUACCAGUACUGACAGGUGGCUCUCCAGGGACUUUGACAAUACAAGUAAAACUGAAGAUGCGCUUACCUAUGACCCAAAAUUCUCCUGCUCGGUGCAAAUCCUAGAAAAAUUCUCGUGUGGACAGAAGAUAACACACACGUGAUGCUCAUUACAUCAUUGCACAAUGUGCAAAGACAGGAAAACCACCUAAAUGUCCAUCAACAGAGAAACGGAUAAGCAAUUUAUGAUAUGUUCACUUGAUGGAACCACUUUUGUGGUCUGAAAAAGUCUUUAUUUGACCUUUAUCUUUGAAACAUAUUUUCACUGGGCGAAGAAUUCAAGGUUGGCAAUUUUUUUCUUUCUGAACAUUAAAGAUAUUGCUCCAGUGUCUUCUCACUUGUAUUGUUUCUUAUGAGAAAUGUGCUGUCACCCACAUCUUUUCUGUUUAUUUUGUCAGGCUGUUCCUCUUGUCAUUUCUGUCUGGCUGCUUUUAAAAUUUCUCUUUAUCAUUGUUUUUGAGCAAUUUGACUCUUACGUGCCUUGGCAUACUUUUCUUCAUUUUCCUGUGCUUGGAGUUCUCUGAGCUUCUUGGAUCUGUGAGUUUAUCAUUUUCAUCAAAUUUGGGGAAAUUUGAGGCCAUUAUUCCUCCAACUCUUUUUCUGUCUCUGCCGUUUUGGAGAUGCCGGUUAUAUUUGUUUCAGGCUCCCUGUGGUUGUCCCACCCCUCAAUGAUGUUCUCUUCAUUUUUUUCCAUAUUUUUCUCUCUGUGUAUGUUUCAUUUUGUAUCAUUUCUAUUGCUCUGUCUUCAAAUGUAUCAGCCUCUUCUCCUGCAGUGUCAAAUAUGUUGUUAAUCCUAGCCAAUGUAUUUUUCAUCUCACACAUUGUAGUUUUCAUGUGUAGGAGUUUGGCUUGUGUCAUUUUUAUACAUUUCAUGCCUCUACUUAACUUUUUGAAUUCCAUAUGGAAUACAGUUAUUAUCAUUGUACUUUAAUGUUCUGGUCUCCUAAUUCUAACAUCUGUAUCAGAUCCAGGCCAAUUUUGCUUGAUUUAACUCUCCUUUAUGGGUCAUACUUUUCUGCUUCUCUGUAUGACUGCUGUUGAAUGUCGGAAGUUCUUGUAUUCCUAUCGAUACUCUUCAGCUUUAUUCUGGAAUGCAACUACAUUACUUGGAAAUAGAUCCUUUCGGGUCUGGCUUUUAAGAUUUUCUAGGUGGGACCCUGGCAAUGCUCAAUCUAGUGCUAAUUAUUGCCCACUAAUUAAGGCAGAGCUCUUCCGUGCACUCCCACAAAAUGUCCCAUGAGUCAUGAAGUUCUGCGGUCUGGCUGGUGAAAACAGGAACUAAUCUCAGACUAUGUCAGCAGCAGGCACCAUUACCUAAUCCUUUUGGGUCAUUCUUUCUCCAGACUAGGGAGGAAUCCUUAAAUUCUUAAUGCUAGUCAUAUGCAAAUCAUAUUCAACUGAAUCGUUGAAGGUGACCCUUUGCAAAUCUCCAGAGUUUUGUCUCUGUGAAGCCCUCUCUUCUCGGGCAUUCCGUCCUGUGAGCUCCAGGCCCCAUGAUUUUCUUGUUCUGUGGCUCUGUCUUCUCUACUCAAGGAGUCAUCAGGCUCUGCUGGGCUGCCCACUUCCUGUACCACAGCCUGGAAACUCCCUCACAGCUGGAAUAUUGGGUAGUUGUUGAUUGACUCUCUCACAGGAUCACUGUCCUUCAUUGCCUGAUGUCCAGAGUCUUGAAAAUCAUCAUUUCAUAUAUUUUGUCUACUUUUUGUCUAUUUUAGGCAGGAGGGUUAAUCCAGUCUCUAUUAUGCUAUCUUGACGGUGAGAGUAAGGUCAUCUUACUUAAGGUAGAAAGGAAUAUUGCAGUUUUAAGAAAAGAACUAGGUUAAUCACUAGAUUUAUACACAUUAACAUCAAUUUAAAUUGAAACAAUAUUGAGGGGAAAAAAACAAAUUUGAAGAAUAGCAUAUUCUGUCUGAAACCAUUGGAUUAAAAAUAUACAAAGUUAUCCUGUAUACUGAUUUUGUAUACUGGAAACUCAAAGGCAUGCAUAGGAAAACCUUAAACCACCGUGAUGACGGCAAUGUCUCAGGGAGGAGUGAGUUGAGAGACAGAUCCAAAAGGAAUAAACCAGGGGCUUGAACUUUAUCUAGAAUGUCUUAUUUUCUAAAAAAAUAAGAAAUAUGAAACAAAUCUGUAAAAGUGUUAGUAUAUGGCAUUACUUAAAUCUGAUGGUUGGCUAAAAGAAUGUUUAUCAAUUAAUUAUAUUUUUUCUGUAUCUUCAGAUAUUUCAUAAUGUAAAACACCUAUCAUUUAGGUUAUUAGUAGCUUCUGCUGUCAAGAACGAAUAUUAGAAUUUGCCUUUGAGGCUCACCAUCUUUCGCUCACAUUUGCGUAAUUAAAAAGCUCACAGAGGUGGCUUCCUGGGGGAAAAAGAACACCCUCUUCUAAGAAGGAAAUAUUCAAGGUAAUAUAGCUCUGAAGAGGUAAAUUGUUCUGGGCGAUUAUUAGAGAUGUUUUUAAAAGUGUAAGCUGAGUUCUAGAACUGCAUCUCUGCAAAAUAUUUCCUUAUGAAAAAAAUGGGUUUUUGUGAAUAUUCAUUUAGACUAAACCGUGCACACAAAUUAUUGUUCAUUCUCGUGCCUUUAGAGAGAUGACUCUGUGUGUGUGUGCACCCGUGCCCAGGCAUGUGCAUGCACACACUUUUCCUGUUCAAGGAUAACAGGAAUAGAGAACCUCAAAGACCCAGGAUCGUCUCUAGGCUCAUCCUCAGGACUGUGCAGAGGAAGAGGAUUCGCUAGAUAUCCACUCUGUAACGUGACGAUAUUGAUGAAUUGAUCCCCUGAUACGUGCAUUUAUGUCAGGACGAUUGCGCAGUUAUCUUGUUGGGGCAAGACAGGGCUAGACCACACCCCUGUGAGUAAGUGUGUGUGGAGCCCCACUGUCAAAUGGAACAGGGAGAUGCAGAUCUGGGGACAGCAAAUGAAGAAUUGCAUCAUUUCUUUGUGGGAGUUUCUUCCAAUUUGGCUUGGUCUCGGAGGCAAAGAGAGCCCAGCUGGUGGGCUCCGAAUGUGGUAACAUUGGUAGCAAUACUAAGCAUUUCUUGUGAUCUUUUUCCCUUCCAUUAUCUCCCGAAUUUCUAGAAGUCUCUAUUAAAAGUCACUGCCUAGUCUCUGCUCUGCUUUGGAGAAUUAAGGACAAGGGUAUUGCACAGUUGAAGCAGACCAUGGAAGAGGCUGCGCGGGCAUCCACAGCAGAGCCCAGCCGGGGCCGUGAGGCAGCGGUCUCAGGAGGCACUGGUGCAGAGGCAGCAGGAGUCAGCAGGACAAGGAGACCAUAAAGAAGAUCAGAGGGCCCACUCCUGAGCACGGGAGGCAGCAACCUUGGACAUCUGUCAAUGUAACUUAGAAGUAAUGUGAGGGGACCACUUUCCAGUAAUUAGACAUUUAGGGAUCUCUCAUGACAUUAAUAUCCAGUUAUGUGUUGAAAUGAGGUUUUAUUUUGAAGUCAUGGGUUGGUAAGGACCAGAUAUCUGGGUACCACUAUCAAGAAAGAAAUAUAAGGGACCAGCCCAGUGGUGUAGUGGUUAAAUUCACAUGCUCAGCUUUGGCAGGCCAGGGUUCUCAAGUUGGGAUCCCUGGUGCAGACCUAUGUACCAUUCAUCGAGCCAUGCUGUGGCAGCAUCCCACAUACAAAAUAGAGGAAGAUGGGCACAGAUGUUAGCUCAGGGCUAAUCUUCCUCACAAGAAAAAGAAAAAAGGAAGGAAGAAAUAUAAAUCCAAGUUGGGAAGUGAUGACAUUCCCUACUGUGGCCCUGCAGCAGGAAAUCACAGUAUUUUUUCUCGUUUAUGACAAGCUUAGCAGACGCCCACUCCAUGGUGUGAACAGGUGAGGAUGGUUAGCUCUCAUUCCAGCGUUUUCUCUUCUCAGAAGGAAAUAUGCGAAGGCUGAAGGAAGAAGAAGUGCAAGGGGCUCAGAGAAACUGGAAGAAUAAACAGUAAACACGCUUCUCAGUUCAAGUCUCGUCGGGAAAACAGAAACCACUCUAGAUGUUUCAAACAGAGGACAUGUAAUACAGGAAAUCACUUAAACAGGUACUGGAAAGGCAGAGUCUCCAGACAGGGAGGGCAGACAAUGUGGAGAUCAGCAACAGAGGGCAGCUGCUGCUGUCCCCAGGGCUGGGACGUCACAGAGGAGAUCAAUAGCAGUCCAGGAUCCGGCCACUUGGUGGAAACUUCAGUUGCGGCUGGCAUCUCCGCCUAGAGCUGGAGCCAUCAGAAAGCAUAGCUGCGACUGGAGGCUCCCCCAGAAGGAGAGAAGGGACAGGUAGUCUGGCUCUUCCUGUCCUCCUGCCACCAAACUUAACCAAACUUCUCCGGGAUCUGGAGGGCAAGGGAGCUGCGAGAUGAAGGCCCUGUGAGGUAGAGCAGAGCAGACGAAGGGCAGGGAGCAGAUCUAAGGGUGUGGUUGCCAAAUUAAGUACAGAUGCCCAGAUGAAUUAGAAUUUCAGAGAAACAGUGAAUAAUUUCUUUUAGUAUAACUAUGCCUUGUGCAAUAUUUGGUACAUAGUUAUACAAACAUUUAUUCAUUGCUUAUCUCAAAUUCAAAUGUAACUGGGUGUCUUGUGUGUUUAUUUGUCAACCUGGAAGUCCCAUCGGAGAGCAAACUGAAAAUAACUGGCUUGUGUGAUAAUGAUGCUAAUAUGGUUCCAGUACUUUCCUUGGCUCACAGGGCAACACCCAUGAAGGAAAGGGAAUUUUGCAAAAGGCUAAAAGUUCAUUGCAAGAAAAAGUGAGAAUUAGGGAGGGAGGUAGUUAAGGAAUUAAUACAUCAGGAUCUUCAAAAUAAUUUAUAGGGAAAAUCAAGGCAAAGGGAUUCCCACAGAUGUUAGAAAAGGGUGCCCAAGACUAGGGGUUGGGACCAAUGGGUUUGCACUCAAGAAUUCCUGAUAAUGAGUCAUGCCCCUGAUGGAAAUCUGAAACCAAUUAGAGGCAAAAAUAUGCUCAGCCUCAAAAUUUAACCAGAACUAACAGUGUAAGACAUCAUUCUGAAGGAUGAGGAAGAGCUGGCUUUAACUGGGGCCCCUCUCCACCGGACUGUGCUGUGGUGGAAAUAGGCAAAUAAAUCAGGGAGCAAUUGGAGAAAAACACCAUCCCUCUCUGGAUCCCAGGAGAUGCUUAGGAGUUUGGAGCAGUGCCAAGUGUUAUCAUCUCCUCCUGGAGAGGAAAUUGUGUGGAGAUGGUAGCUAACUUCGGAGUCCUGGAUUACCAAUGUGUGUACUGGCAGGCUGGGCUGAUCAGACUCUCCCAGGUCCACAGGCCGCUCCUUGGCCAUCCUUCCUUAAGAGUGUGCAUGUGCACACACACACUGGAGGCAGGGAAGGUAACCUGGAAAUGAGUCACACUAUCUACCCAACCUGAACACAUGGUGCACCUCCUUCAUUACGGAGCAGUUAAAGCUCCCUAAUUCCGAGGCCUUUCUCCACCAUCACUGACCAAAGUCUUCAAGUAAAGAGGGCCUCAUGCACACUUACAACAAUUACUGAGGGUUGAUUCUUUGCAGCAACUAGGACUGGACUAUGACAAGGAAAGCAUAGCAUGAGUUUUCAAGAGUGAGCCCCUCCCCAUGAAAGUGGUGCUUCUAAACAUGUCAUCUAAAUGGUUUCCAAUCACCAACAAGCAAACGGAAAAGAUCUUGGUCAAAGGCUUAGCCAUCUAUUCAAGAGAGUGAUUGGGUCUGGCAGAAAGCUUUCUUGCCUACCCCAAUUUUUGCAUGAACAUUAAGAUUUUGCAAGAACUUUGAUGACCAGGAAGGAAUGUCAAGUUUACGCAUCUUGCCUGCGGUGGAAUCCUGGCCUCAGAAUGAAAGCGUAAAAACAACGGCUGCCCUCUACGGUCUUGCUCUAACUGAAGGGGGACAGGUCUUCAAUAAAAGUGGGUUAUGGGUUAGAAGGAGCUACAUUCAGAAGAGACACACGCUGAGAGUGCAGUAGGGUCUGUGCUGUUUGAGACAGCGAUUCUGAGACAAAGAGCUUAAGGAAUAGGAUGUCCCGGUUUUUGAUACUUUUCUCGAACUCUAACCUCUCUUAGCAGAAUGAGCCCACGGGUCAACAUUUUUACAAAGCUUCCUCCUGAGGCUCCCUAUUUGUGGUUAUCAUAUACCAGCACCAUUGCUGCUGUUAUGCACUCUUUAGAAACAAAAUCCUCUAAUAUCCUUCUAUGUUUAGAAACAAUAUCCUCUAAUCUGCAUGUCCAAUAUGGUAUCUACAAGCUACAUAUGACAUGACAAUUGAGUACUUGAAAUGUGGCUAGUGCAACUGAGAAACUAGGUUUUAAAAUUUUAUUCGACUUUAAUUUUAAAUUGAAAUCGAUACUGGAUUCACUUACUAGAAAACUCUGAUGUUUCUUUGGAACCACUUAGGUUUGGGAAUCUAUCUCUUCAGCUGUCAGUAUUAUGAAAUUUAAGUACAGAUCAAGUCUUUCUCAUGAAAAUUCAGCAUCUGCCUUGAGAUGUAUUGUAAGUGUACAAUACAUGAGACUUCAAAGAUGGUAUGAAGAUAUUAAAGUUCUCAUUAAUAAGUUUAUAUUGAUUACAUAAUAAAAUGAUAAUAUUUUGCAUAUAUUGGGCUAAAUAAGAUAUAGUAUUUAAAUAAAUUUCACUUGUUUCCUAUUUUCUUUUUUUAAUACAGCUACCGGAAAAUUUAAAACUUAAAAUAUAAAUUUAAAAUAUAUGUGGCUCACGUUAUAUUUCUAUCGGACAGCACUGCUGUAAAUUUCUCCAUCUCCACAUGCUCUAUAUCUCCGUACACUUAAAUGCACAGAUGCUCCUUGACUUACGAUGGGGUUACAUCCUGAUAAACUCAUUGUGAGUUGAAAAUAUCAUAUGAUGAAAAUGCAUGUAUAUACCCAACCCACUGAACAUCCUAGCUUAGCCUAGCCCACCUUAUACGUGCUCAGAACACUUCCAUCAGCCUACAGUUGGGGAAAACCAUCUAACAAAGAGCCUAUUUAUAAUAAAGUGUUGAAUAUCUCAUGUAAUUUAUUGAAUACUGCACUGAAAGUGACAAACAGUGGUUGUCUGGGUACAGAUGGUUGUUAAGUGUAUCGGUUAUUUAUCCCCAUGAUCACAUGGCUAACUGGGAGCUAUGCUCGCUGCCGCUGCCCAGCAUCAUGAGAGAGGAUCGUACCGCAUAUCACUAGCCUGGAAAAAGAUCAAAAUUCAAAGUACACUUUCCACAGACUGCAUAUUGCUUUUACACCACAUUAAAGUGGAAAAUCGUAAGUGGAACCAUCGUAAGUCAAGGACCGUCUGUAUAGAGGUCUCACGUUCCGCCUGAGCCUUCUCUCCCUGUGGGUCAACCAGAGCUGUCAGGUGCAAGCAGGCUGAGGGACAGAGAGGCUGGAGAUGGGGACCUUACAGCCAUCUUAAUGGGGAUGUUCAGUGUAAGAAUUGCAUUUUCUUCCCAGCUGCCCUUUGCUUCCUUCAAUGUCAAGAUCUUCACGAACACAGAGUAAAGAAGUAGAGGCUUUUCGAGCACAAUGAAGCACGAUAAUCAUGAAAGAUGGCCGUUCUUGGCCUGAGAAACAUUGGAUUAACCCCUAGAAAGUUCACCUUGAAAAUCCUGACUUCUAGAUCCUUUACCUUGAAGAUUCUCAGGGGCCUGUCACCCCUCCUCCUGCUCUGUAAGGGCCUGUGGCUCCUGGUAGGAUGGAGCCCAGGGAUGAUUGCUGUGUGGGAAACUCUGAAGGGAAUGUAGGACAAGAGAGUAGCGAGAGGAGAGUGGGGCAGAAGGGACACACAGAUGAUGGUCUGGGCCAGGCUGCACGCGGGCUGGAUGGGCAACACAUCUCAGCAUUGUGGACCAUCUUCCAGACCGUGUGGGUUCGUGACUGUACGUGGCUGUGUUACGUCGUUUUCUAUCUGGCAAUGGACAUAGUAAAUACAGCCUAGAGAUUUCCUUAAUAACCUCUAACUCUGGCCUCUAACAGAAGAAUUCAAUUGAAGUUUCCCUCAGUCUUAGAAGACAGCGCCUGACAAUACUAGGUAAAGUUUAAGAUAAAUUUGGCUAAGUGUCCUGCUUGCUCGAUUCUCAUGGCUGUUUGGGGAGGUGAUCGUAUUACCACCAAGGCUGACUUUCACUUCUCCAGAAAUAAUGACAGGGCUGGAAUACGUAAAACUCGUGGACUGUGCAGAGUUCAAAAGAUUGUCAAAAUGAGGCCAGGCCUCUAAUUAAGCCAGACUCUGUCCUUCUCUUUAAGCAGCAAGAUCAUAAGGGGAGAAAGGGAUUCUGACCAUAUGAGCCUGGGCCCGUGACGCUGGCCGGAAUGGCCUGGGAUGAAAUGAACAUGCCCAGCCAAGGCUGCUUCUUGCCAAGUUUUCCCGCUAUGGUCCGAAAAGAAAGGGGACUAAAACCUUACAGAUGAAUGAGUUAUUUUCUAAAAAAAUCCAGGUAACUCGCAAGGAGAUCGUAUUAUGACCCAAAAGAGUAGUUAACAGAUUAAGGUCUCUGUUUGUAGAACCUCACCGUGUCACGUGACGGGAGAGGAAUUCAGUCAUUGGAGUUGCGUUCCGCUGGGUCUGCUCGAUGCCUAGGUGUUAUGGGCCCAUGGACGCUGCUUAAUUAACACCGCUGGUGGGAAGGCAGAUGCAUCUGCAUGGAGCCACGGAAUAGAACCUGGGAGAACUUGCGUGCCCCCUUGGCUGAGCAGUCUGCAGAGGGAGGAGAAGCAGAAGGGGAUUACCACAAGCCAUGGCCGGAGGCACAUCCCAGCAGACUCUGAGGUCAUAGGAAGCCAUAUCCAGGCCCUGCCGAGAGGGGGCUCACAAGGGCUUCAGCCUAGGUAAGCAGGCAUAUCUCCAGGUUCACCCUGCUUUUCAAUUCCUCCCCUGGGAGACCUCAAAUCCACGAGUGUUCACAGCUCUGCCAGAGUCCGCGGCCUAGAGGAGGAGCGGAACCCAGUCCCAGGGGGGUGAGGGUGGAUGGGGCUCCCUUGUCAACUUGAUGGCAGCGGAAGCUGCAGUACGUAAGGAGAGGGCACAGCUCCACUCCACUACCCAGGAGCGCUGACUCUGCGAUACCACUGAUCAGAAGCAGAGAGUGAAUCUCGACAGGGUGCGAGAGUCUUAGCUGGUGCCUUUAAAAAUAUUUUUAAAGUGCCAAAUAAAAUAUAUCUAUGAAAACAAAGAACAAAAAUGAAAAAUCAUCCAUAAUUCCACCAUGCACAGAUAACCACUGGUAAAAUCUUUAUAAAGCAUGUUAUUAUACUUUGAAUUUAUUCUUUUGCUUGCUAUUUUCAUUUCAGAACAUUAUUCUAUAUCAUUGGAUAUUUUUCAACAUUGUUUAUUUAACUCAUUAUAAAACCCAUUUUCUGAUACUUACAAAUUCAUCUCUCCAUCCUUUGGGGUUGAUGCAGACUUCAUAUUAAAUUACGUACAUAUUCCCAUCAAGAUCUGCACAUCUUGAUUUCAACAGAUUUUGCUGCUAAAAGGAUUCCUUUUAUAGACGUCCCGUUUCUUCCUCUCACCAUCACAGGUGACCUUCAAGAAGGUUGUAGAAUCAUUUAUUUCUUUAGCUCUGGCUUAUUGUCUACUAAGUAUUUGCAUCGAGGCCACAUCUCCCAGGGGUGGCCCCAGCCAAUGAUGAAGCAAUGGCGGGCUUGUCCUGGGGAGACAUGGGGCUGAGUCCUCAACCAACCACACACUCUGACUGUGAUCGAGGUGCCCAGAUUGGAUGGUCCUGGGAAUCAAGCUCGCAGAAGGUGACCUCACACUGGCUGGUUGGAACAUGCAGGCUGGAUCUUACAAACGAUGCUACGCACCCCGCAAGGCAGGGGCCCCCCUUGACCGUGAAAGGCAGCAGAACUCAGUGAGGAUAUUUCAGACAGCAGUUGAAAUUAAUAUUUUAUGUACACAUACACACACACACAUACAACACACGAAAAGACAAUAAGAGGAAAAAAUUUUGGGAAAUUUGCUGUUCAUGUGACUUUCUGCAAGGACACAGAACACACUUGUUUCCAAAGUUCCAAAGGUCUGGGUUCCCUCCCCAGUGCAUCUGGUCUCUGAACAGUCCAGUCACCCUCGGCCCCACCCCGUGUCCUAAGGCAGCCAGCCGGCUGGGCCCUGAAUAGCACAGAGCUCUGGUGGUGAGGGAGAGUAACUUGUCUUGGCAGGAUGGGGAGAGAGAAUGACGCACAUCACAGCGAGUGGAAAUCUGAGAAACGACGGAAGACUUCGGUUGAGAAACCAUCCCACCCUGCCUCUGCACCCAAGGGCUCUGGGCGGGGUCAGCCAUGUGACCUGGGUCUAAGCCAAUCAGAGCAUCUCACAGCAUCACCACAGUGACUGAGCGCUGGACCCCGUGGGACUCUCUCCUGCUGCUCGUGAACCUGAGAGAACAUGAGGCUGGAGCUGUUGCAGAUCCUGAGGGGAGGGACUGCCUGCGAGGGUGCCAACUUAGGGGACACUGAGUCAACAACUGGACAAGGAGCAACCAGCUUCUGUUGGCAUCACGUGACCCCAUGCGGAAAGCCUGCCUGAAACUGGCCCCGUCUCUAGACUUCUCCA